GAGGGUCUAGCUCAGAGGUGGAGUGUUUGCCUAGCAUGCAUGAGGUUCUGGGCUCAAUCCCCAGGACCUCCA
rnacentral:tRNA from 1 species